rnacentral:lncRNA from 1 species
AAUUGAAAUUAAACAUUGAAAACCAAAGUAGAAUACAUCUAGAAUGCUCCAGCAAUCCAAAUUGAAUGACUAGCACAACUCCAAGCAAUCCAUCUUCCUUGCAAAUAUGUGGCACCAUGGUGUGAGUGGUGAAUGGAUGGUCUCUUGUGGUGGUGGAUGGAUAUAGGUGAGUUAUGGUGAAGGGUGGAGAGUUGUGUAGAUGAUGUGGUGUCUUUGGAUGAUGGCCCCCCAAAUUAUGGUGAAGGGUGGAUGUAUUUAUAGGAUAAGGAGAGGAGUGUAUGGAGUUGUAAUGAGUGGAUGUAAUGGGUGUAGUGGGUGAGUGUUGUGGUAAUGAGUGGAUGUAAUGGGUGUAGUGGAUGAGUGUUUGGUAAUGAGUGGAUGUAAUGGGUGUAGUGGGUGAGUGUUGUGGUAAUGAGUGGAUGUAAUGGGUGUAGUGGGUGGAUGUUUGGUAAUGAGUGGAUGUAAUGGGUGUAGUGGAUGGAUGUUUGGAGUUGUAGGUCAACACACUUGCACACACACAUGUUGAUUUCUAGCCUUCAAAUCUUCAAAAACGUCCAUCCUCAUGUCUCCAUGCUUGCACUAUCCAAUCUUGGCUCAAAAAUGCUCUAAAAUGCUCAAAAAUGCACUUUCUUGCCAACUUUGUUAUUAUGAUCUACAAACACACGAAAAUAGCUUAAAAUACAUAAUUAACUAAGAAAUAACAACACAAAUACACAAGAACAAGCUAACUAAGUCGCAUAAUUAUGUUCCUAUCAAAUUCCCCCACACUUAGCUUUUGCUAGUCCUCGAGCAAAACAAAAGAAACAAAAAGAAACAAAACAAACAAAACACAACCUAACCUUCCAACAUUUGCGUCAGGGAUUUUCAAUGAAACAUGACAUGCCAAAGAUCACCACUUACAUAGAUUUAAGCAUUCUUACCCUCGAGCAUACUUAAUCAUAGUCACCAUUCACUAGCUCACAUUUAAUCAAUUAAAACAGCAUUUUGAAUAUAGUAACAUGCCUUAGAGAAUUUCCUCAAUUCCUUACUAGAUACACUCUUAUUUUCACACAAGAAUUUCUGACUACACUCCCUAUACUAGGUAUAUGUGAGAAGAUUGAUGUAAACAUGGAAACUAGUACUCACAUAUGUUUUUCAACAAAGAAGCAAUUUCUAGAAUUAUUAAUUCAUGUAUAUAUAUGAUCUCAUGAAUGGAAUGCUACUACUUAGAUGCGAGAACCAGUGACACCAUAUGCUCAUAUCAAUUUCAAACUCCACAAAUUGAAACACACAACACUCAAGAUUGAAGUCAAUGGUUGUAACAAGGCUUGGGGGUAAUGGCUAACAAAGAAAGGAUAGGAAUAACAAACGUUCUUAAAGCGAUAGCAAGCAAAGUAAUGGAAUCGACACUUGGAAUUUACUUUAGAAUGCAAAAAUCAACUUUUAAACACAAUGGGAAGAUUCAUGCAACACUUAGGGUCGAAUUCAAUGCUUUGGACCCUUUCUUCAACAAACAACACUUUAGAGCUCUUUCUCAUAAAUUUUUCAACUCUUUUCACAACUUUUCAUUCUAUUUUCCACGAAUUUUUCUUUGUCUUUUCCUUUUCUACCUGUGCCUUAUGAAGGACUUUGGCAUACACACACACACAAGAAUCAUUUCCCCCACACUUGUUUUUCUGCAAGAGUUCAACAAAAGGAAUUCCUUCUAAAUUAUGCUUUACUAUGCUUCAAGAACAAGGGUAUGGAUGGUCCUAAUCUAGGCUAGGUGAGGAUAGUGUGGGUAACAAAGAACAUAGGUUGUAAGGCUCAACGGGGUUAAACUUAAACAUAUAAUGAACGGGAUAGGCUUUUUGGCUCUUGGCUCACUAAACAACUUCAUCUUGAAUAUGUGUUAUGCAAAUCAAUAACAUGCUUUGAAUGAAAUAGGCACGAGUUCUAGCAUUUGGAACUAAAUGAUGAAACGCCUUCUAAGUAGCAACCAAGCAAAGAAUAAUGAGAUCAUGCAACGACUUUAGAAAACAAAAUAAAUUGCAUAGAUUAGUAACUCUCCAAAUAAACGUUUAGGCUCAAGUCUCACAAGGUUGUAGCGUACAUUUGAGUUCCUUCUUUCAAGCAUGUUACAAAAACUUUUUUUUUUCUUUAUGAUUGCAUGUGAAUUCAUAAAUUAUAACCACAACCAAGCAUACACCAAAGAGUAAAUUAAAUUUUCAUCCAUGUUUAUAACUCUCUUUAACAGUCAUGUAAUUAAAAACCAAAUCCUCAUCAAUGUGUUGGAAGGUACCCUAAGACACAAAUAAACAUACAAAAACAACUCUUUUUGGGUUUUUCAAAACAAUUUUUCAAAUUUUUAUGAGAUUUUCGGAUUUUUAUGUCAAAACACACUGAAACACUCUAAAAUAGCUUAAAAACACUUAAAACAGUAAGGAACAACACUAGAAGUAAUGGAUGAUAAACUCCUACGAAUUUCAUGCAAAACAAUUGUUACCCCCCCCAACACUUAACACACUUAAAUCAAACAUUGUCCUCAAUGUUUCAAGCAUAAACUCACACAAAAAACAAGCAAACAAAAAAAAAACAACGAAUAAACAUGACAAGUAUGGCAAAGUAAAAAUCAGAUAGAGUAGAGUUUAAGAACGCAAAUCUGGUUUUGGAGAUAGAUGAUCUUGUUGUCUUUCCACAGCUUUGAUCUCGAACUGGUUUGGAAUUCUAAGCGAGGAAUAUGAGAGUUCCUUGGUUUCAAAUCAGACUCAUUCUGCUGGGUUAAUUUGAUUGUGUAGUCUGCAUUCUUCUCUGCUUGUUUCUUCUGCACGGCAAGCAGGCACGAGGUAGAGGUGUUGGUCUGUUUCUUUCUUCAAUCUUUCCAAGUGUCCACCUCUUGCUUUCUUUCUCCUUGUCCCUAGCUAAGGAUGAAUUGGCAAAUUGUCUCCACAUGCUUCGAGGUAUCAUUUUCACUUCCCUUAUCUAUUCCCCAAGCAGAUGUGGUAGACGAAGAGGAAGCAUAAAAUGAUGAAGAUGAGUACUCGAGAGCAAGGCUAGGAAAGCAAUUAGGAAGGGGUUUCAUGCAGUCGGUUCCAGAUUAGAAGAUUGAUACCAAGUGCUGGCUGAUUGCUCUCUUUCUCCUUGUCCCAAAACAACGACAAGGAGAAGGACAGGGAGAAAGCAUGAUAUGAGAUACUCUUGCUUUCAACCUUCAUGAUAUGAAAUACUUUUGCUUUGGAUGAGUUGUUUGCAGAGGUACCCCAAGGAAUAAGGAACACUAAGUGACUCGAGAGGGUUUCUUAGAAAGGCAUUUUCGGAGAAGAAGAAGGGUUAUGUAUGUCUGCCUUGAAAUGGAAGGUGAAGGGUGCCAUUUAUUGGAAUUAAUAACCGGUACUAUUCUUUCACUCUUGUCAGCAACCGUUGGAUGAUUUAAUAGUGAACUUCACGUGCUUUCUACUUCACAAGAGAUCUUCGACAAAUUGCCCGUAAUUUUCGUAAGGCGUCUGCAUGUGACAGGCGCUGACACAUCUGGAAAAGCAGAUGUUUCUCCGAUAUCUGAAAUCGGCACUUCGAAAAACUGCCCUUGAUUUUCGCAAAGUUGAGUCUGCAUGUGACAGGCGCUGACAUGUCUGGAAAAGCAUAUGCUUCUCCGAUAUCUGGAAUCAGCGCUUCGACAAACUGCUUGUGAUUUCCGCAAAGUUGACUCUGCAUGUGACAAAUGCUGACAUGUCUGGAAAAGCAUAUGCCUCUCCGAUUUCUGAGCUUGCCUUUUUGAUCUCUGAAAUCCCGUCGAGUGUAGAGGUUACAUGUGACAAGUGCAGACAAAUCUGGAAAAGAAGAUUGGUCGUGGUUUUUGAGCAAGCCCAGCUUUUGAGAAAGCUAGCGCCUCUUUGAUUUUUGAGUUGGCCUCUUCGAUUUCUAAGCUCGCCUCUUUGAUCUUUGAAAUCCCAUCGCGUGCUGAUUUUUAUAAAGGUACGCAGGACGUUCAAAGCACACUUGAAUUUCUGCUUGUAAAAACUCCCUUCUUGCACUUCUACGAUCUUGACUUGUCCGACCUCUUCUUUCUUUAACAGCUCUGAAAAUGUCUGGCCCCUCCGACCAUCGUUUUGACUUGAACCUUGGUGAAGAGGCAGCCCCGCCUUCUCCAGACAACAUAUGGCGCCCAUCCUUCAUAUCCUCUACUGGUCCCCUUACCGUUGGGGAUUCGGUGAUGAAGAAUGAUAUGACAGCUCCGGUGGUGGCCAGGAACCUUGUCACUCCCAAAGAUAACAGACUACUUGCCAAACAGUCUGAUGAGUUGGCUGUUAAGGAUUCUCUGGCUCUCAGUGUGCAGUGCACAUGUUCCGUGUCCAAUAUGGCCCAACGCCUAUUUGCCCGAACCCGUCAAGUUGAAUCAUUGGCGGCUGAAGUGAUGAGUCUCAAGCAGGAGAUUAGAGGGCUUAAGCAUGAGAAUAAACAGUUGCACAGGCUCGCACAUAACUAUGCUACAAACAUGAAGAGAAAGAUUGACCAGAUGCAGGAAUCUGAUGGUCAGAUUUUACUUGAUCAUCAGAGGUUUGUGGGUUUAUUCCAACAACAUUUGCCUUCGUCUUCUGGGGCUGUACCGCGUAAUGAAGCUCCAAAUGAUCAACCUCUGAUGCCUCCUCCUUCUGGCGCUCCCCCGACUGCUGAGGCUCUGCCGACUACUGAGAUCUCUCCUAAGCAGCCUUUGUGAAGGCUCUCUCUUGUAUUUAUCUGCUUAAUGUUCCUUUCUUUUUUUUAUGAAUGUAAAAAUACCUUGCAUAACUGUCAGUGUUUCAAAACCCACACCAAAAACAAUUAAACAAGCAACAAAUAAAAAUGACAAUCAUGGAAAAAUAACAGAAAAGGGAAGGUUUUCAGAAUCGCUAAACUGAUUGUGGAGCAAUUAAAAAAAUCUUCCUUAUUUGAAAUCAUGGGUUGCCGCCCAAGAAACACUUGCUUUAACGUCUUCCAGCCGGACGAAACUUUCUUCUAAACUUGGAUAGGGCCCAUAGCAUGGAAUUGAUCCUUGAAUGGAAGGUGAUACUUGACGUGAUCCGACAAUGGUUUAAAUUCUAGCGUAGGUGUCUGAAUCAUUAAAAUUAGCAAGUUAGUAUAUAAUAAAAUCGAAAUUUGAGAAGAUGGCUUACUUGCUUGCUCCAACACAAACUCAAUUAUGAACACCACAUCUUUGAAGGUUGCAGGGUUAUGGGACUUGGCCAGAUUUGGUGUUUUGAGAGUUAUGACUUUUCCCGUGUCAUAAAAUCCAACUUUUUUGGGAGUUUUCGUCUCAAGGGUAUCUUCUUUGAUGAAUUGUAGACAUUCCCCAUCCACUUCUUGCUCUUGAUUCUUUGGAAAGGUUCUGAAGAUGCCUUUAUCACCUUCUUCUUCCUUGGAUUGCAUAAUCCUGCAAGGAAUAAGGAGGACAUUUGGUGAACAGGGUCAGGAUGAAUUGAAUUUAGACUUACUUUGGUUGUAGUGGACGGCAUAGAGGGCAUAUGAGGCUGCGGCAAGGGUGGUUCUUUCCUUGCCGUGGCCUUGUUACUUUCUUCUUCUUCGAGCAUCAGCUGUUCAUCCAUGUUUUGGCUUGGUUUGGACGUCAUGGAUUCACCUCCAACCUCCAUAGCACUUCCCAAAGUGAUAGCAUCAUGGAUUUCAAAAUCUUCCUUCAAAUUUUCAACAGUUGAGUUGGAGAAUUCACUUUGCUCUUGAAUUUGUGCCGUGAACUCCAUAAUUUGCCCAAAUUGCUUUUCCAAUUCGCCCGUCUUCUUGGCUUGAUUUUUCACCUCUUUGUUUCAGUUUUCUACAUCCUGGUUCAAAGAGGUGAGUAACUUAUUAAACAUAUCAUUAUCCAAAGAUGUACCUGAAUUGAAUUGGGCAGAUUGUUGUGAUGGUUGCAUAGGUCUUGAAUAGGAUUCCUCUUCUUGCUGCCAAUACCCAUCUUGUUGGAAUUGUUGAGGUUCUCCCCACAUGUAAUCUGAAUAAUCUCUCCAAUCCGAAUUGUAAGCGUUGGAAAACAUGUUGUCCCCCUGAUUGGCUAUGGCCUUGAUAACCCUAAGCAUCUUCAUUCGCAGCGAAUUGAGAACAUUGAUGAGUUGGAUAUCCUUGCCCAUAGGACACACCAUCUGUAGGGACACUUUGCAAUGUGGUCCUUUCGGCAUAUUGUGACAAUUGAGAAGUAAGUUUCGCCAAUUGAGCUUGAAUGGUAGCAAAAUCCAUGUCUUACUUCUCUAGUACUUGAAAUCAAGGAAACAAAACUAAAUCAAAUAUCAUAAGUAAAAAUAAAAGACACAAAUAGAAACAAAGUCAGUAACUAAAACAAAAAACAUGAAAAAGAAACAACGGACGAUUAGCAAAGUUGCUAAUCCCCGGCAACGGCACCAAAAUUUGAUGCGAAUGAAAGUUAAGCACUCAAAUUAAACCCUCUUUUGACAAUUGUAGUAUAUGUAUAAGUAGGGAUCGUUCUGGACCGGGGAUUAGGAGGGAUUACUAAUCUAAACUAAACUAAACUGACUUACAAAAAGAAAUUUAAAAACACUUAACUAGACUCUAUAGACUCAAAACACUUAAAACACAAACUAAAAUAGAUUUUAACUAAUUAGACACACUAAAGUAAAGGGGGAUUGGGUUUUGGACGAAAAUAAAGUAAAACAAAACAGAAACUAUAACUAAACAGAUUUGCAUGAAAUUGGUUGUUUUGGAUGGAUGAUGGGCUAGCUAGAAGGUCUUUCUCCAUACAUGACACACUUGCAUACAAAUCAAUCUCCAAUUGCUUUUCAAUAAACUAUGAUGCUCAACACCCCAGAUUAACCGUGAUGCACUAAUUAACCCUCAGAUUUUCCUUUACUCAUUGAAUUGGAUGAAUGCAUGCGACAACCCAAAUCAUUCUCUAAAAGUCCCCUAUAUGAAUGCAUAAUAGAGAUACAAUUAAAGAUCAUUAAGUUCCAUGAAAAUCAUAAGCGUUGACGACGCAAUUGUAACUAUGAAUGCAUGAUACGUUUGCCAAGAAUUCAAUUAACGCGAUUGUGACAAGCAACCUUCACUACUCAUGAAUAUAAACUUGUAACGAUUAGGUGGAACUUAUUUAUAUCCUAGCAUCAAAUUCAUGCAUGAAAACUAAGUAUGCAUCCUUAAUAAACAUACACAAAUCCGUUAUGAAUAAAAUAGAUAAUUGAAUUGCAAUCACAACUUAUCAAAUCACAAUUGGAAGAAAUCAAUUCAUAUUGCAAAUAUAUUCAUGGUUUCUAAUUCUCCUCUAGCCAAAAGAGGUUUAGUUCCUCAUACUUGCAAUUAAACAGAAACAAUUGAAAUUAAACAUUGAAAACCAAAGUAGAAUACACCUAGAAUGCUCCAGCAAUCCAAAUUGAAUGACUAGCACAACUCCAAGCAAUCCUCCUUCCUUGCAAAUAUGAAGCACCAAGGUGUGAGUGGUGAAUGGAUGGUCUCUUAUGGUGGUGGAUGGAUAUAGGUGAGUUAUGGUGAAGGGUGGAGAGUUGUGUAGAUGAUGUGGUGUCUUUGGAUGAUGGCCCCCCCAAAUUAUGGUGAAGGGUGGAUGUAUUUAUAGGCUAGGGAGAGGAGUGUAUGGAGUUGUAAUGAG